rnacentral:rRNA from 1 species
GAGUUUGAUCCUGGCUCAGGACGAACGCUUGCGGCGUGCCUAACACAUGCAAGUCGAGCGAAUGAAGUUCCUUCGGGAACGGAUUUAGCGGCGGACGGGUGAGUAACACGUGGGCAACCUGCCUCAUAGAGGGGAAUAGCCUUCCGAAAGGGAGAUUAAUACCGCAUAAGAUUGUAGUACCGCAUGGUACAGCAAUUAAAGGAGCAAUCCGCUAUGAGAUGGGCCCGCGGCGCAUUAGCUAGUUGGUGAGGUAACGGCUCACCAAGGCGACGAUGCGUAGCCGACCUGAGAGGGUGAUCGGCCACAUUGGGACUGAGACACGGCCCAGACUCCUACGGGAGGCAGCAGUGGGGAAUAUUGCACAAUGGGGGAGACCCUGAUGCAGCAACGCCGCGUGAGUGAUGACGGCCUUCGGGUUGUAAAGCUCUGUCUUCAGGGACGAUAAUGACGGUACCUGAGGAGGAAGCCACGGCUAACUACGUGCCAGCAGCCGCGGUAAUACGUAGGUGGCGAGCGUUGUCCGGAUUUACUGGGCGUAAAGGGCAGGCAGGCGGACCUGCAAGUUUUCUGUUAAAGACGUCAGCUCAACUGGCGCACGGCAGGAGAUACUGCAGAUCUUGAAUGCGGUUGGGGAAGACAGAAUUCCUGGUGUAGCGGUGGAAUGCGCAGAGAUCAGGAGGAAUACCAAAGGCGAAGGCAGUCUUCCAAGCCGUUAUUGACGCUCAACUGCGAAGGUGUGGGUAUCAAACAAAAGUAGAUACCCUGGUAGUCCACACAGUAAACGAGACUCAAAAGGUGUCGGUUUCGUAAUAGGAUUCGGUUGCCGUAGCUAACGCGUUAAGUGAUUCGCCUGGGGAGUACGAUCGCAAGGUUGAAACUCAAAGGAAUUGACGGGGGCCCGCACAAGCGGUGGAGCAUGUGGUUUAAUUCGAGGCAACGCGAAGAACCUUACCCGGUCUUGACAUCUGUGGAAUUCUUCAGAGAUGAGGGAGUGCCGGUUUACCGGAGCCACAAGACAGGUGCUGCAUGGCUGUCGUCAGCUCGUGUCGUGAGAUGUUGGGUUAAGUGCCAUAACGAGCGCAACCCUUGUCAUUAGUUGCCAUCAGGUCAAGCUGGGGACUUUAAUGAGACUGCCACCGUAAGGUGUGAGGAAGGGGGGGAUGACGUCAAAUCAGCACGGCCCUUAUGUCCGGGGCGACACACGUGUUACAAUGGGAGGUACAGAGGGCAGCUAUCCGGUGACGGAAUGCUAAUCUCCAAAACCUUUCUCAGUUCGGAUUGGAGUCUGCAACUCGACUCCAUGAAGGUGGAUUCGCUAGUAAUCGCGCAUCAGCCAUGGCGCGGUGAAUACGUUCCCGGGCCUUGUACACACCGCCCGUCA